rnacentral:rRNA from 1 species
AUGAACGCUGGCGGCGUGCCUAAUACAUGCAAGUCGCGCGAACAGACGAGGAGCUUGCUCCUCUGACGAUAGCGGCGGACGGGUGAGUAACACGUGGAUAACCUGCCUAUAAGACUGGGAUAACUUCGGGAAACCGGAGCUAAUACCGGAUAAUAUAUUGAACCGCAUGGUUCAAUAGUGAAAGACGGUUUUGCUGUCACUUAUAGAUGGAUCCGCGCCGCAUUAGCUAGUUGGUAAGGUAACGGCUUACCAAGGCAACGAUGCGUAGCCGACCUGAGAGGGUGAUCGGCCACACUGGAACUGAGACACGGUCCAGACUCCUACGGGAGGCAGCAGUAGGGAAUCUUCCGCAAUGGGCGAAAGCCUGACGGAGCAACGCCGCGUGAGUGAUGAAGGUCUUCGGAUCGUAAAACUCUGUUAUUAGGGAAGAACAAAUGUGUAAGUAACUAUGCACGUCUUGACGGUACCUAAUCAGAAAGCCACGGCUAACUACGUG